GGGGGGAAAAUUAAUAAUAAAUAUGAUAAUAAAAAAAUUUUUAAUAAUAAGAAUAUUUUGGGGGGUUAAAGUAUUUUUAAAAGAAAAAAUUAAUAAUUUUAUAAUUUAUUAGUAUUGUAAAAGAAAUUUGAAAUAUAAUUGAAAUAAGAAUUUAUUUAAAAGUAAAUUUAAUUUGUUGUAUCUUGUGUAUCAGAGUUUAUUAAUAAUAAUUUAUUUUUUAAAAUUCUCGAAUUUAAAAGAGUUAAUUAAUUAAAAAAUUUAUUGUUUUAUAAAUAUUUUAAAUAAUUAAUUGGAAAUGAAAUGUUAUUCGUUUUUAAAUAUAUCUAGUUUUUUUAGAAAAAAAUUAAAUUUUUAAUUAAUUAAAAAAUUAAUUAAUUAUUAAAUUAAUUUUUUAGUUAAUUUAAUAUUUUAAGGGAUAAGCUUUAAAUUAAAUUUUUAUAAUAAUUAAUUAAAAUUUUUGAAAAUUUUAUGAUUUAUAUUGUUAAAAAAUUUUAUUUUAUUAUAAAUAAUUUCAUUAAAUUUAAAAUUUAAUAUAAUUUAAUUUUUUAUAAAAAAAUAUUUUAUAAUUAAAAUAAAUUAGUUAUAAUGAUAAAAUUAGUAUAUUAAAUAAAAGUUUAAAUAAAAUUUAUUGAAAAAUUAUUUAAAAGGAACUCGACAAAUAAAUAUAUACAUUAUAUAUGUAUAUUAAUUAUAUUCACCUGUUUAUCAAAAACAUGUCUUUUUGUUAAUAAUUUAAAGUCUAAUCUGCCCACUGAUUAAAAUAAAUUGAAGGGCUGCAGUAUAUUGACUGUACAAAGGUAGCAUAAUCAUUAGUCUCUUAAUUGGUGACUUGUAUGAAGGAUUGGAUGAGAUAUAAAUUGUCUCUUAAAUAUAUAAUUGAAUUUAAUUUUUUAAUUAAAAAGUUAAAAUAAAUUAAAAAGACGAGAAGACCCUAUAGAGUUUUAUAAUUAUUUUAUUUUAAUUUUUAAAUUUAAUUAUUUAUAUUAUAAUAUUUUUAAUUAUUUUAUUGGGGUGAUAAAAAAAUUUAUUUAACUUUUUUUGGAUUUAAACAUAAAUAAGUGAAUUUUUGAUCCAAUAUUAUUGAUUAUAAGAAAAAAUUACCUUAGGGAUAACAGCGUAAUUUUUUUUUUUAGUUCGAAUAAAAAAAAAAGUUUGCGACCUCGAUGUUGGAUUAAGAUAAAAUUUAAAUGCAAAAGUUUAAAAUUUUGAUCUGUUCGAUCAUUAAAAUCUUACAUGAUCUGAGUUCAAACCGGUGUGAGCCAGGUUGGUUUCUAUCUUUUGAAAAUAUUAAUAUUUUAGUACGAAAGGAUCAAAUAUUAUAAUUAAAUUAAUUAAUUUUGAUUAUUAUUAAUUUAUUAAUAAAAUUUUUAUU
rnacentral:rRNA from 1 species